UACGUAGGGUGCAAGCGUUGUCCGGAAUUAUUGGGCGUAAAGAGCUUGUAGGCGGUUUGUCGCGUCUGCUGUGAAAUUUCGGGGCUCAACCUCGAACUUGCGGUGGGUACGGGCAGACUAGGGUGUGGUAGGGGGAGACUGGAAUUCCUGGUGUAGCGGUGAAAAUGCGCAGAUAUCAGGAGGAACACCGAUGGCGAAGGCAGGUCUCUGGGCCACUACUGACGCUGAGAAGCGAAAAGCAUGGGGGAGCGAACAGG
rnacentral:rRNA from 1 species